AACAAACAAAAAAACCCACAAAACUGAAAUGCUUAAUAAAAUGUAAUGUAGUCUGUACAAUCAAACCGAAGUCAGAACAAAAUCCUGUAUUUUCUGCCAGCUACAUUCUUUCCCCCUCCAGCUACCAGCUUCCAUAUUUAUUUUGCUUAAAAUUCAGAACACGUGCUAUCUUUUCCUUACUUGAAUUAGGACAGUUAUUCUCUGGACAUAACAAUCACUCUGGUGAAUUCAUUGUUAAAACACUCAAAUUAGAGCAGGGUAAAUUCCCAUAGGUGUCACUUCUGAAAUACUGUUUUUGACAGACUAAACGCCCAGUUCCUUUUCCAUACCUAUACAUACCAUCCAGCCAUAGCUGAUAGGACACAAGGACAUACUUGUAUGCAGUCUAAGGAUUAUGGAAAAUUUAUUAAUAAACAGAGAUCCAUUUCUGACUUGGAAAACACUGAGUUGUGGAAAUCAAAACUGGUGAAACAGUACAAGUCUCAAAAACUAAUUGGAGAGGAAGGAAAUAAGCAAUGGAAUUAAAAUCAUAUAUAGUUUAUGAGUACAUACACACAAAGAGCAAACAGUACGUUUUUGUAGGAUGCUGCAAGCUGAAGUUCUUUCUCCACUCUACCUUAGCAAAGCCAAAACAUGAAUUUUGUUCUUUUUUGUGCACAGACCUUCUGUCUCCUAUUUAAUUCUUUAGACAAAAUUAAUCAAUUUGAACAAGUGAAGUCCUCCCAAAAUAGAGUUCUGGUGAUUACAACAGUCAAAGCUGAACCCAAGUCUUGCACAACCUGAAGUAGCAGAGUAAAUAACUGGCAAUGCUAGUAUGAAGUGUAAUCUUCAGGAUGCCACUGGGAUUAAGUACUGCCUCUGUUUUUCAAAGAGAUGGGUGCUUUAGAAAGUAGAGAAAGGGGACAGGAAAGAAGGUUAAAAUGCAACACAGUCAGUAGGACUUUACUAUGAUGUAUAAGGCGUUUCAGUUCCCUGCAGAUACUGUUAUGCCUCAACAGCUGGUGUCAAGGGGAGAUGGCUACAAAACAGAAGUGGAGUCUAUCUUAUUUCAUACAGCUCUAUACUAUAUAGCUUGCUCACAUUCAAGCCCCAGUUAGCAAAAUUCUGCAAUGCAGAGCCAUAAAAAAAAGUUUAAUUACAAAAAAUCCCCCAACCCUAUAGCAACAGGCUAUCAUUAUUCAUUUUCAUAUGUGUUAUGCUUGAAAAAGCUUUGCAUAUUUAAAAAAGCUAUGGAUCAACUAAACCUGUCAAAAUUCAAUCUCUGUAUACUUCAGACUUCUACAUUUGAGUAAAUCAGCCCAGCUUUUAUGGGUCCAUAAAACUCUGACUCAUCUCCUUCACACUGUAUUUUUUCCCCUCAAUUUGUCCUCAUUACCAGCUAAAGUUAAUGAGAAGGCAUUAAAGAAUGAUUUGCAGAGAGAUUUGAUUUCUGCUUAUAGCAGCUACAAAAAUCAAGUAUUCUUACUUCUCACCACAAAGUAAUUUGUAAUUCAUAACCUGAUCGGUUAGUAUCACAUAAAAAAUUCUCACCUUCCUCCUCACACACAUGCAAACACAACUCUCAGGAGAAAUACCACCUACAUAAAUAAUGUAAGAAUACCUAUACAUCCCAGAGAGUAAAAGUUAUCAUUCCCAAUAUUUGCUGGCACAGUCCUUACAAAAAAAGCCCUAUUGUUUUAAUUUGCUUAAUACAUUUUCAGUGUACUGUUUUAUUUCUAAAUUUCCUGCGUUCCUAUACCCUUCUUUGUAUUACACGCAUAGUGCCUGCACAAGCAUCGCUUCUACCGUGAGCAUUUGUAAGAGGUUUAUGACGUGUCUUAAAUUAGAAGCUAGUACUUCUAUUCCGUUGUAUUCUAGAUUCUUCCACACCUAGAUUAAAUCCUGAAAGCGAUUUUAGUCUGAAUUUAUCACACGUUGAAUGCAGUUUUCUACCAAGACAGGUUGCACCAUAAUGGCCAAUUGAACUGAGAUAAUAUUGAGGGUAUGUCACUAAGAGUAAGAAUGCCAUCAACAGAGACUACAGGGUACAGGUGAACACAUCGCAAGUUUUAAGGCAGGAAGAACGUGAGGUUCACCCAAGCCAACUUAAUAGAAAAAGGUUACCAAAAACAUUCCUCAGUUGUUCCAAUGUCCAACAGAAGGCCAGAUAUGAAAAAACAACACGUAUUACAACAGCACAAUUCUACUUGAGUAUUUAAUGUUAACUCCAGCACAUGUUGCCUUUGAUGCUACAGUGAAGCCCUCUACCUGUUGCAGAACUUUUAUUUGGGAGCAAAGAAAUUAGAUGAAAAAACUGCUAUUAAAAACCUCUCUUCAUUGGUUAUUUUCCUACCAAAUAUCACUGUCACACAAAAUUAGCAGGGAGAGGUCCCGUCUUCUACACCCUCCUCAUCCCUAUGCUUUUGAUAUCACAAGUGAAUUGCAUGCUUACAACUGAAAGCAGAGUUUCAUCGUUGUUUAAUGUAAUAAAACUAGCAUUCAG